UACAGAGGGUGCGAGCGUUGUCCGGAAUCACUGGGCGUAAAGGGCGCGUAGGCGGCUUGAUAAGCGUGCGGUGAAAGCCCGGGGCUCAACCCCGGGUCGGCCGUGCGAACUGUCGAGCUGGAGCACUGUAGAGGCAGGUGGAAUUCCGGGUGUAGCGGUGGAAUGCGUAGAGAUCAGGAAGAACACCCGUGGCGAAGGCGGCCCACUGGGCCGGUACUGACGCUGAGGCGCGAAGGCGUGGGGAGCGAACGGG
rnacentral:rRNA from 1 species